UACGUAGGGCGCAAGUGUUAAUCGGAAUUACUGGGCGUAAAGCGUGCGCAGGCGGUUUUGUAAGUCUGACGUGAAAUCCCCGGGCUCAACCUGGGAAUUGCGUUGGAGACUGCAAGGCUAGAAUCUGGCAGAGGGGGGUAGAAUUCCACGUGUAGCAGUGAAAUGCGUAGAGAUGUGGAGGAACACCGAUGGCGAAGGCAGCCCCCUGGGUCAAGAUUGACGCUCAUGCACGAAAGCGUGGGGAGCAAACAGG
rnacentral:rRNA from 1 species